rnacentral:rRNA from 1 species
UACGUAGGGCGCAAGCGUUGUCCGGAAUUAUUGGGCGUAAAGAGCUCGUAGGCGGCUUGUCACGUCUGCUGUGAAAUCCCGGGGCUCAACCCCGGGCGUGCAGUGGAUACGGGCUGGCUAGAGUGCGGUAGGGGAGACUGGAAUUCCUGGUGUAGCGGUGAAAUGCGCAGAUAUCAGGAGGAACACCGGUGGCGAAGGCGGGUCUCUGGGCCGUAACUGACGCUGAGGAGCGAAAGCGUGGGGAGCGAACAGG